GGUUCAGUACCACUGUGUUGCACUGUGGGCGAGUGUCUUCAGCUACAGCCUCAGGCCGACCAAAGCCUUGUGAAUGGAUUUGGUAGGCGGAAACUGAAAGAA